rnacentral:lncRNA from 1 species
AGGGCGAGAGGGGGGUGAUAUGACUGCCUGCCUUGCGGGUGGCGCCCGCCCCCCUGCGAUGUGGAUCGUCUUAUCCAGAGUGUGAAAGGAAUGGAACAGAUAAGAAGAUACUGAAAUUGGACGGUGCUGCCGUGCGGCUGCCGCAGGACACCUUUAAUAUCCCUGUUUCUCAGGCUGUAGAUGAAGGGGUUCAGCAUGGAGGUGAUCACCGUGUACAUCACUGAGGCCACUGCAGCCUUUCUCGGGGAAGAUGACACAUCUGAACUGAGGUACCCUCCAAAGCCUGUUCCGUAAAAUCAGCAAACAACUGACAGGAUAACUUCAGGAAGUGGGUAUUAAUUCUCACGGUAUAAGUGAAGACAUUAAGCACCAGAGUUUAAGUAGCUUGAUCCACUGAAAGAGAUUCAACUGUGUGGAACCUAUGCCGUGGAGAAUUGCUUUCUGCCAUUGUUAUCGUCCAGCAGUUGCCGAAUAGCUCUGACCUGAGCAAAGCAGUGAAACGCGGUGCUGUUGAGUGGGUUGCCACUGCACCUUUUUCAACUACUCUAGUCUUGUGGAGAAAAUACCCCUUCUAAAUUUUUUCUUCAUUGAAUACUCUCCCUCAGCUCCAGAGUACCAUAUAGAGUUUUCUUGUAUUUUAGAGUUACUGUUUUAUCAAAGUUUACCAGUCUUUUGUAUUACAUUUCUCCUGUCUAAAUCGACUGUGUGGUUUCUACUCAUUAUGGAUAUAGAUUGAUACAAACUCAAUAAAUAUUUUUGAAUGAAUAA